AGGAGGCGGAGGCCGCGGCGAGCCGGGCCGAGCAGUGAGGGCCCUAGCGGGGGCCCGAGCGGGGCCCGGGGCCCCUAAGCCAUUCCUGAAGUCAUGGGCUGGCCAGGACAUUGGUGACCCGCCAAUCCGGUAUGGACGACUGGAAGCCCAGCCCCCUCAUCAAGCCCUUUGGGGCUCGGAAGAAGCGGAGCUGGUACCUUACCUGGAAGUAUAAACUGACAAACCAGCGGGCCCUGCGGAGAUUCUGUCAGGUAUAGAGAUGUCCCAAACCCUCCCCACCGAGCGCUCCCUCCCAGCUUC
rnacentral:lncRNA from 1 species